GCUGGGAUAGCUCAAGCGGCAGAGCACCUCAUUCGUAACGAGGAGCGUAGGGUUUCAAGUACCCUUCCCAGCCCCA
rnacentral:tRNA from 1 species